CCUACGGGAGGCUGCAGUAAGGAAUAUUGGUCAAUGGAGGAAACUCUGAACCAGCCAUCCCGCGUGAAGGAUGAAGGGGCUCUGCCUUGUAAACUUCUUUUGUCUGGGGCGAAAAAGCUCGAUUUAUCGAGAACUGACGGUACCAGAAGACUAAGCACCGGCUAACUCCGUGCCAGCAGCCGCGGUAAUACGGAGGGUGCAAGAGUUAUCCGGAAUCACUGGUGUGUAAGCGUGCUUAGGCGGCUUAGGUGAAAGGCCGUGGCUUAACCAUGGAAUUGCCAUUGAUACUGCAGAGCUUGAAUGAGGUUGAGGUUGGCGGAAUGUGACAUGUAGCGGUGAAAUGCUUAGAUAUGUCAUGGAACACCGAUGGCGAAGGCAGCUGACUGGACCUAUAUUGACGCUGAGGCACGAAAGCGUGGGGAGCGAACAGGAUUAGAUACCCCUGUAGUC
rnacentral:rRNA from 1 species